rnacentral:rRNA from 1 species
UCUUAGCUUGCUAAGGCUGAUGGCGACCGGCGCACGGGUGAGUAACACGUAUCCCUCUUUACGUCUACUCUUGGCCAGCCUUCUGAAAGGAAGAUUACUCCAGGAUGGGAUCAUGAGUUCACAUGUCCGCAUGAUUAAAGGUAUUUUCCGGUAGACGAUGGGGAUGCGUUCCAUUAGAUAGUAGGCGGGGUAACGGCCCACCUAGUCAACGAUGGAUAGGGGUUCUGAGAGGAAGGUCCCCCACAUUGGAACUGAGACACGGUCCAAACUCCUACGGGAGGCAGCAGUGAGGAAUAUUGGUCAAUGGGCGAUGGCCUGAACCAGCCAAGUAGCGUGAAGGAUGACUGCCCUAUGGGUUGUAAACUUCUUUUAUAAAGGAAUAAAGUCGGGUAUGCAUACCCGUUUGCAUGUACUUUAUGAAUAAGGAUCGGCUAACUCCGUGCCAGCAGCCGCGGUAAUACGGAGGAUCCGAGCGUUAUCCGGAUUUAUUGGGUUUAAAGGGAGCGUAGAUGGAUGUUUAAGUCAGUUGUGAAAGUUUGCGGCUCAACCGUAAAAUUGCAGUUGAUACUGGAUGUCUUGAGUGCAGUUGAGGCAGGCGGAAUUCGUGGUGUAGCGGUGAAAUGCUUAGAUAUCACGAAGAACUCCGAUUG